AUUUUAUUUUAAUUUUUUUGCUGCAAAAUUGGAAAGUGUUUGAAACUGGAUUUGCUUUUUUUUGUACAUCAAAAACAGAUGUGAGGCUGAAUUUGAUGGACACGUCUCUUUUCAGCUAAGUAACCAUGUGAGAAGUAUUUUAGCUCAUCUGUUUGCAAUUUAACUAACUUUGGUUUUGUUUUCUUUGCACAAUUCGAGCCUUUAUACAUUUCUUAAAUCCAUGUUUCCUGUCUGGUACUAUUGGGAUUCCUGCUGCCUGCCCAGCUCCCCCUUACAAAAUUCCUGUAUUGAAAUGAAAGCGGAUACAUGUGUAGAUCUUGCGUUCGUUUUUUACUGAUCUCUGAUGCAAGAAAUAAACCUGAG